rnacentral:rRNA from 1 species
UACGUAGGGACCGAGCGUUGUCCGGAAUCAUUGGGCGUAAAGAGCGUGUAGGCGGCCUGUUAAGUCUUGCGUGAAAUCUCGGGGCUCAACCCCGAGCGGUCGUGAGAAACUGGCAGGCUAGAGUGCGGGAGAGGCGAGUGGAACUCCUGGUGUAGCGGUGAAAUGCGCAGAUAUCAGGAAGAACACCGAUGGCGAAGGCAGCUCGCUAGGACGGUACUGACGCUGAGACGCGAAAGCGUGGGGAGCGAACAGG